rnacentral:SRP_RNA from 1 species
GCCGGGCACAGUGGCGGGUGCCUGUAAUCCCAGCUACUGAGGAGGCUGAGGCAGGGGAAUCACUUGAACCCAGGAGGCGGAGGUUGCAGUGAGCCGAGAUCGAGCCACUGCACUCCAGCUUGGGCGACAGAGUGAGACUCUGUCUCAA